ACAUCGACCUGAUUCUAAUUGUUUAAUUAACAAUGUUUAUUAUAAGAACAUAUUCAGGUCGACGUAUACGCGAACGAUUCCCUUGAAUCUACAUCAAAUUAGUUUACCAGAAUUAUAUUUUACAUGAUUUUUCCCAAUUUGAUGUAAACCCAAGUUGGCCUAUAUUUAAGUCUUGACAUAUCCCCCGGGCUUGGAGAGCUGGUCCCCAGCGAUAAAAAAAAAUCAUGUGCUAUUAAGCUUAAUUAAGAUUUUCUUGCGACUCAUCAAAAUCAAAAAAAAAUAUAUAUUUUUAUCAUUUACUCUUUAAUCCCGUACAAACAAAAGGUCCUACGCGAUACCACCCGUACUGAAAAUAUGUCUCCUGGCAUCCUGGUGCGUUGCGUCCGUUUCAACAAUACCAUAAGCUUCAAGCUUUAACCCUAGCUCAUAUCAGUUAAGUAAUGCACACGCCAGCACUGCCUUUGCCUUUGUUUGACUGGUUGCCUUCUUAUUCAUUGUAUACUUCUGUUCGUCCGUGCGCUUGGUUUCAAUGUCAAACGGGCGACGGCCUUUUGAAAUUGCUGGGAUCAGCGGAAUACUGAACAAUUAUUUUCUCUUUUCUUCAUUAGUGUACUGUUUUCAUUCGAGCCAAACAAAAUUUACUUGUUAAUAUUUCUUGGUUUUCUGGCUUCUCUGCGGCUGGUUAUUGCUUCCAUAUCCGUAUCCAAAAAAUUCCAUACAUCUCCAAUCCAUUAGAAUUCGAGGCAAAAAGGCGAGCGGCGUGUUUAACAUUUGCUCAACUGAACAGAGCUUGUGAUGCUGGAAAGUUUCAUCUCACUGGUGUGGUUGGUACGUGUUUCCAGACAGCAACUCAUUUCUUCCUUCGACUUCUUAGUGUUGAUUGUGGUAUCGGCAGGUGUGAUACAAAAUUCAUGAGAAAUUAAAGAGUAAGUACUAUAUUUUAUUCCUAUCUUUAAUAUCUAAAACAGAAUAACAAUUACGUUAAUAAAACUAUUCUUCUUAGUUACCUGUGAAAUAUCUACAGUUUAUUUUAUCUUAAAUAUUUUUCGAAAAUGCAUUUGCUUAAAAAAAAUUAAAAAUUGAUAGUUUUAAUUAUUUGCUUAGGUUCCUUAUAUUUAUAUAAAAAAUAAAGAUUUAAAAUAUGACUUUACUUAUUACUAUUUAAUUAGUCCAGCUAAGCACUUUGUAUUAUUAUUUAUAUUUAAAAAUAGCCUCCAACUAUUUGUACUUCAGCAAAAUUAGAAAAGUAAGUAUUUAUUAUAACGUUUACAUUUUCUUUUCAUUUAGGACGAAG
rnacentral:lncRNA from 1 species